AAGGGGUAAGGAAAAUGGUCCUUAUCUGCUAUAGGAUAGGAUCGUGUUCGAUUAUGGUUGUUGGUGAGGUAAUGGCUCACCAAGCCGAUAAUCGAUAGGGGCCGUGAGAGCGGAAGCCCCGAGAUGGGUACUGAGACAGCGACCCAGGCCUUACGAGGCGCAGCAGGCGCGAAACCUCCACAAUACACGAAAGUGUGAUGGGGUUACCCAAAGUGUUCUAUUUAGAACUGUAGUAGGUGAGUAAUGUUCCCUACUAGAAAGGAGAGGGCAAGGCUGGUGCCAGCCGCCGCGGUAAAACCAGCUCUUCAAGUGGUCGGGAUAAUUAUUGGGCUUAAAGUGUCCGUAGCCGGUUUAGUAAGUUCCUGGUAAAAUCGGGUAGCUUAACUAUCUGCAUGCUAGGAAUACUGCUAUACUAGAGGGCG
rnacentral:rRNA from 1 species